rnacentral:rRNA from 1 species
UACGAAGGUGGCGAGCGUUGUUCGGAAUCACUGGGCGUAAAGCGCACGUAGGCGGUGCCGUAAGUCGGAUGUGAAAUCCCUCGGCCUAACCGAGGAACUGCGUCCGAUACUGCGGUGCUUGAGGAUCAGAGGGGUGCAUGGAAUUUCCGGUGGAGCGGUGAAAUGCGUUGAUAUCGGAAGGAACACCGGCGGCGAAAGCGAUGCACUGGCUGAUUUCUGACGCUGAGGUGCGAAAGCCAGGGGAGCAAACGGG